UNNNNANUUUUCGCCNGGNCGCGCCCCGCGCCCGUCCCGCCGCCCCCGCCCGCNUANGGGAGGCAGCAGUGAGGAAUAUUGGUCAAUGGGCGAAAGCCUGAACCAGCCAUGCCGCGUGAGGGANGAAGGCCCUAUGGGUUGUAAACCUCUUUUGUAGGGGAAGAAACCUUCGAUCGUGUCCGAAGCUGACGGUACCCUACGAAUAAGCAUCGGCUAACUCCGUGCCAGCAGCCGCGGUAAUACGGAGGAUGCAAGCGUUAUCCGGAUUCAUUGGGUUUAAAGGGUGCGUAGGCGGGUUAGUAAGUCAGUGGUGAAAGCCUACAGCUUAACUGUAGAAUUGCCAUUGAUACUGCUAGCCUUGAGUGCAGUUGAGGUAGCUGGAAUGUGUGGUGUAGCGGUGAAAUGCUUAGAUAUCACACAGAACACCGAUUGCGAAGGCAGGUUACUAAACUGCAACUGACGCUGAGGCACGAAAGCGUGGGGAGCAAACAGGAUUAGAUACCCUGGUAGUCCACGCCCUAAACGAUGAUAACUCGCUGUUGGCGAUAUACCUNCCNGGGGG
rnacentral:rRNA from 1 species